CAGUCGCCGCGGUAAUACGAAGGGGGCUAGCGUUGUUCGGAUUUACUGGGCGUAAAGGGCGCGUAGGCGGGCGAAUAAGUCAGGGGUGAAAUCCCAAGGCUCAACCUUGGAACUGCCUUUGAUACUGUUUGUCUUGAGUUCGAGAGAGGUAAGUGGAACUGCGAGUGUAGAGGUGAAAUUCGUAGGUACUCGCAAGAACACCAGUGGCGAAGGCGGCUUACUGGCUCGAAACUGACGCUGAGGCGCGAAAGCGUGGGGAGCAAACAGGAUUAGAUACCCGCGUAGUCCCUGUCUCUUAUAA
rnacentral:rRNA from 1 species